GAUGAACGCUGGCGGCGUGCCUAAUACAUGCAAGUCGAGCGAACAGACGAGGAGCUUGCUCCUCUGACGUUAGCGGCGGACGGGUGAGUAACACGUGGAUAACCUACCUAUAAGACUGGGAUAACUUCGGGAAACCGGAGCUAAUACCGGAUAAUAUAUUGAACCGCAUGGUUCAAUAGUGAAAGACGGUUUUGCUGUCACUUAUAGAUGGAUCCGCGCCGCAUUAGCUAGUUGGUAAGGUAACGGCUUACCAAGGCGACGAUGCGUAGCCGACCUGAGAGGGUGGUCGGCCACACGUGAACUGAGACACGGACAGGGCGACGACGGGAGGAAGCAGCAGGGAGUCUGCCGCAAUGGGCGAAAGCCUGACAAAGCAACUCCGCGUGAGAGAAGAAGGGUUUCGGAUCGUAAAACUCUGUUAUUAGGGAAGAACAAAUGUGUAAGUAACUAUGCACGUCUUGACGGUACCUAAUCAGAAAGCCACGGCUAACU
rnacentral:rRNA from 1 species